AACGAACGCUGGCGGCAUGCCUAACACAUGCAAGUCGAACGAGACCUUCGGGUCUUUUUGCGCUCGUCUGCGUACCGCCUGGGAACUUGCCCUUAGGUUCGGUAUCCCUCCCCGUAAGGUAUCCUCAUGCCGCUUAAUCUCUUCGGACCAAAGAUGUAUCGCUUUUGGAUGGGCGCGCGUUGGAUUCGCCAGUUGGUAGGGUAAAAGCAUCCCAAGGAGACGAUCCAUAGCUGGUCUGAGAGGAUGAUUAUCCACACUGGGACUGAGACACGGACCAGAAUCCGACGGGAGGCAGCAGUGGGGAAUAUUGGAGAAGGGGCGAAAGCCUGAGCAAGCAAUGCCGCGGGAGUGAUGAAGGCCGUAGGGUUGUAAAGCUCUUUUACACGGGAUGAUAAUGACAGUACCGGGAGAAUAAGCACCGGCUAACUCCGUG
rnacentral:rRNA from 1 species